UCCCUGGUGGCUCAGUCGGUAAAGAAUCUGCCUGCAAUGCAGGAGACCCAGGUUAGAUCCCUGGGUUGGGAA
rnacentral:tRNA from 1 species